rnacentral:rRNA from 1 species
UACGGAGGGGGCGAGCGUUAUUCGGAAUUAUUGGGCGUAAAGGGCGCGUAGGCGGCCCUGCAAGUCCAAGGUGAAAUCCCUCGGCUCAACUGAGGAACUGCCUUUGAAACUGCGGGGCUUGAGGCCGGGAGGGGGUAGCGGAAUUCCCAGUGUAGCGGUGAAAUGCGUAGAUAUUGGGAGGAACACCAGUGGCGAAGGCGGCUACCUGGACCGGUUCUGACGCUGAUGCGCGAAAGCGUGGGUAGCAAACAGG